rnacentral:rRNA from 1 species
UACGUAGGUGGCGAGCGUUGUCCGGAUUUACUGGGCGUAAAGCGCGCGCAGGCGGCAGUCUAAGUCCUCUGUGAAAUCACCCGGCUCAACUGGGUGGCUGCGGAGGAGACUGGGCAGCUUGAGGGGCCUAGAGGCCGGUGGAACUCCCGGUGUAGUGGUGAAAUGCGUAGAGAUCGGGAAGAACACCAGUGGCGAAGGCGGCCGGCUGGGGGGGCCCUGACGCUGAGGCGCGAGAGCGUGGGGAGCAAACCGG